GUGCCUUGGAGGAUCUUCCCUUAUGUGUAUUAAUCCAAAGAUUUUGCCCAGCAAUUGCAUCGUUGUAGAGCCUAGUGCAGUGGGCGUUGUUGUGAUACCUGAACAUGUAAAAUUCACCUAGAUGUUGUGAUACCUGAACAUGUAAGAUUCACCUAGAUGUUGUGAUACUUGAACAUGAAAGAUUCACUAGGCAGCUUCGUCUUUCCGAUAGCCGACUCAGCGGGACGAUACCGAAUGCAUGUUGCCAAAUUAAUCUUGAGCAUCUGGC
rnacentral:lncRNA from 1 species